rnacentral:rRNA from 1 species
ACCGUGCUAAGGUAGCAUAAUCAUUUGCCUUUUAAUUGAAGGCUAGUAUGAAUGGAUAAAUGAGGAUUUAGCUGUCUCUUUUAUAAAAAUAUAAAUUAAUUUUCAGGUGAAGAAGCCUGUAUAAUAAUAAAAGACAAGAAGACCCUAUUGAGCUUUACUUUAACUUUAAUUAAUAAAAUAUUAAUAUAUAAAAAAUAAAAGCUGUAAGUUUGGUUGGGGCGACAAGGGGAAAUUUAAAACUCCCCAUAAUACAUCGAUUUACAAAUCAAUUAAUGAUCCGAUUAAUAUUCGACCAUAGGAAAAAGCUACCAUAGGGAUAACAGGCUAAUUCUUCUAAAGAGCCCACAUUGAUAGAAGAGAUUGGCACCUCGAUG